rnacentral:misc_RNA from 1 species
GAUGAAGAACGUAGUGAAAUGCGAUAAGUAAUGUGAAUUGCAGAAUUCAGUGAAUCAUCGAAUCUUUGAACGCACCUUGCACCCUUUGGUAUUCCGAAGGGUAUGCUCGUUUGAGUGUCAUUGUACUCUCACACUUCUAAUUCCUUUCGGGAUUGGGAGCGGUGGACUUGGGUGUUGCUGCUUUAGUUGUGGCUCACCUCAAAUAAGUUAGUGCAACUCUUGGUUGGACAUAGUACGGCGUGAUAAGUGUCUUCGCCGGCGCCUCUGUAAGGAGGGUGGCCGAUCGGGAGCUCUGUGCUUCAAACCGUCUUCGGACAAUCUUUGACAACUUGACCUCAAAUCGAGUAGGACUACCCGCUGAACUUAAGCAUAUCAAUAAGCGGAGGA